rnacentral:rRNA from 1 species
GAACGCGAAGAACCUUACCUGGUCUUGACAUGUACGGAAUCCUCCAGAGACGGAGGAGUGCCUUCGGGAGCCGUAACACAGGUGCUGCAUGGCUGUCGUCAGCUCGUGUCGUGAGAUGUUGGGUUAAGCCCCGCAACGAGCGCAACCCUUGUCAUUAGUUGCCAUCAUUUAGUUGGGCACUCUAAUGAGACUGCCGGUGACAAGCCGGAGGAAGGUGGGGAUGACGUCAAGUCCUCAUGGCCCUUAUGACCAGGGCUUCACACGUCAUACAAUGGUCGGUACAGAGGGUAGCCAAGCCGCGAGGUGGAGCCAAUCUCAUAAAACCGAUCGUAGUCCGGAUUGCACUCUGCAACUCGAGUGCAUGAAGUCGGAAUCGCUAGUAAUCGCAGGUCAGCAUACUGCGGUGAAUACGUUCCCGGGUCUUGUACACACC